AACGAACGCUGGCGGCAGGCUUAACACAUGCAAGUCGAGCGCCCCGCAAGGGGAGCGGCAGACGGGCGAGUAACGCGUGGGAAUAUACCCAUCUCUACGGAAUAACGCAUGGAAACGUGUGAUAAUACAGUAUAAGUCCUUCGGGAGAAAGAUUUAUCGGAGCUGGAUGAGCCCGCGUUGGAUUAGCUAGUUGGUGGGGUAAAGGCCUACCAAGGCGACGAUCCAUAGCUGGUCUGAGAGGAUGAUCAGCCACACUGGGACUGGGACACGGCCAAGACUCCUAUGGGAGGCAGCAGUGGGUAAUAUUGGACAUGGGGCGCAAGCCUGAUCCAGCCAUGCCGCGUGAGUGAUGAAGGCCCUAGGGUUGUAAAGCUCUUUCACCGGUGUAGAUAAUGACGGUAACCGGAGAAGAAGCCCCGGCUAACUUCGUGCCAGCCGCCGCGGUAAAAC
rnacentral:rRNA from 1 species